rnacentral:rRNA from 1 species
UACGGAGGGUGCAAGCGUUAUCCGGAUUUACUGGGUUUAAAGGGUGCGUAGGUGGGUCUGUAAGUCAGGGGUGAAAUGCCAAGGCUCAACCUUGGAACUGCCUUUGAUACUGGAGACCUUGAGUCCGGGAGAGGUGAGUGGAACUCCUAGUGUAGAGGUGAAAUUCGUAGAUAUUAGGAAGAACACCAGUGGCGAAGGCGGCUCACUGGCCCGGUACUGACGCUGAUGUGCGAAAGCGUGGGGAGCAAACAGG